CCUACGGGUGGCAGCAGUGGGGAAUAUUGCACAAUGGGGGGAACCCUGAUGCAGCAACGCCGCGUGAAGGAAGACGGUUUUCGGAGUGUAAACUUCUAUCUAUAGGGAAGAAAGAAAUGACGGUACCUACAUAAGAAGCCCCGGCAAACUACGUGCCAGCAGCGGCGGGAAGACGUAGGGGGCAAGCGUUAUCCGGAAUUACUGGGUGUAAGGGGAGAGUAGGCGGCAAGGUAAGCGAUAUGUGAAAGCCUUAGGCUUAACCUGAGGAUUGCAUAACGAACUAUCUAGCUAGAGUACAGGAGAGGAAAGCGGAAUGCGUGGUGUAGCGGUGAAAUGCGUAGAUAUUAGGAAGAACACCAAUGGCGAAGGCAGCUUUCUGGACUGAGACUGACGCUGAGGCUCGAAAGCGUGGGGAGCGAACAGGAUUAGAUACCCUUGUAGUC
rnacentral:rRNA from 1 species